rnacentral:lncRNA from 1 species
UCCUCUGCAGUUUUCCUGACUGCUACAUUUCAUGAGAAGGGAUUAUUCUUGAGGGUUCUGGAGCUGCAGCCCAGGGGAGGAGCCAGUGCUGCCACUGACACCUCAGGGUCGUGGAGGUGAAAAUCCCAGAGGAACAGGUGCUCCUGUUGCAGUUUGAGGUUCCUGGAGCUGGAGACGCAGGGAGAAGAUGGCGCUGCUGUUCUAAUUUAAGGAUCAUGAAGCCGGAGACGCAGAAAGGAGCUGGUGCUGCCACUGCUCACAUCUGAGGGUUUUAGAGCUGGAGCCUGGGGGUGGAGCUGCUGCUGCCUUUGAAGUCUGAGAGUCAUUGACCUGGAGGUCCAGGAAGGAGCUGGUGCUGCUGUUCUAGUUUGAGAGUCAUGGAGCUGCAGACCCAGGGAGGAGCAAUGUUGUCAUAGUUCAAGGGUCAGGAAGCUGAUGACACAGGAAGGAGAGAUCUUGAUCUGCUUUGAGGGUCGUGGAGCUGCAGACCCAGGGAGGAGCAAUGUUGUCAUAGUUCGAGGGUCCGGAAGCUGGCAACACAGGGAGGAGAGAUCUUGUUUUAGUUUGAGGGUUGUGGAGCUGCAGACCCAGGGAGGAGCAAUGUUUUUGUAGUUCCAGGGUCCGGAAGCUGGUGACCCAGGGAGGAGAGAUCUUGUUCUAGUCUGAGGGUCGUGGAGCUGCAGAUCCAGGGAGGAGCAAUGUUGUUAUUUGGGGACUGGAAGCUGCAGACCUAGGGAGGAGAGGUCUUGUUCUAGUUUGAGGGUCAUGGAGCUGCGGACCCAGGGAGGAGCAAUGUUGUUUUAGUUCGAAGGUUCGGAAGCUGGUGACUCAGGGAGGAGAGGUCUUGUUCUAGUCUGAGGGUCGUGGAGCUGCAGAUCCAGGGAGGAGCAAUGUUGUUAUUUGAGGGACUGGAAGCUGCAGACCUAGGGAGGAGAGAUCUUGUUUUAGUUUGAGGGUCGUGGAGCUGCGGACCCAGGGAGGAGCAAUGUUUUCAUAGUUCAAGGGUCCGGAAGCUGGCGACACAGUGAGGAGAGGUCUUGUUCUAGUUUAAGGGUCGUGGAGCUGCAGACCCAGGGAGGAGCAAUGUUGUUAUUUGAGGGACUGGAAGCUGAUGACACAGGGAGGAGAGAUCUUGUUUUAGUUUGAGGGUCAUGGAGCUGGAGACCCAGGGAGGAGCAAUGUUUUCGUAGUUCGAGGGUCCGGAAGCUGGUGACCCAGGGAGGAGAGAUCUUGUUGUAGUCUGAGAGUCAUGGAGCUGCAGAUCCAGGGAGGAGCAAUGUUGUUAUUUGAGGGACUGGAAGCUGCAGACCUAGAGAGGAGAGGUCUUGUUUUAGUUUGAGGGUCGUGGAGCUGCAGACCCAGGGAGGAGCAAUGUUGUUAUUUGAGGGACUGGAAGCUGAUGACACAGGGAGGAGAGAUCUUGUUUUAGUUUGAGGGUCGUGGAGCUGCAGACCCAGGGAGGAGAGAUCUUGUUUUAGUUUGAGGGUCGUGGAGCUGCAGACCUAGGGAGGAGCCAUGUUUCCAUAGUUCAAGGGUCAGGAAGCUGGCAACACAGGGAGGAGAGGUCUGGUUCUAGUUUGAGGGUUGUGGAGCUGCAGACCCAGGGAGGAGCAAGGUUGUUUUAGUUUGAGGCUCCGGAAACUGGCGACGCAGGGUGGAGAGGUCUUGUUCUAGUUUGAGGGUGCGCCCAGGGAGGAGCAAUGCUGUCAUAGUUCGAGGGUCAGGAAGCUGGACACAGGGAGGAGAGAUCUUGAUCUGGUUUGAGGGUCGUGGAGCUGCGGACCCAGGGAGGAGCAAUGUUUUCAUAGUUCGAGGGUCCGGAAGCUCGCGACCCAGGGAGUAGAGGUCUUGUUCUAGUCUGAGGGUGGUGGAGCUGGAGAUCCUUGGACGAGCUGGUGCUGCAGUUUAAAUCUGUGGAUCCUGGAGCUGGAGCCCUAGGCAUUAGCUGGUAUUGCUGUUGUUCAUAUAUGAGGGUUAUGGGGCUUGAGGUACAGGGAGGAGACGCUGCUGCUGUUCAAAUCUGCGGGUCGUGUAGCUGGAGAGCGGGGAGGAGGUAGUCCUGGUGUCUAGUGUGAGGGUGGUGGAGCUGUAGACCUGGGGAGGAGCUGGUGCUGCUGUGUAGUUUGAGGGUCAUGGAACUGGAGACCUAGGGAGGAACCAGUACUACCGCCAUUGAAGUCAGAGGGUUGUGGAUCUCGAGUUUUCGGGGACAGCCCGUGCUGCUAUGUAACUGUGGGGAGGAUCCAGUGUGUCAGGUGAUGUCUGAGGGUUUGGGAGCUGGAGACCCAGGGAGGAGCCGGUGCUCCUCUUCUAGUUUGAGGGUAGUGGAGCUGGAAAUCCUGGGAAGAGCCAGUGCUGCCAUUUAAAUCUGUGGGUCCUGGAGCUGGAACCCUUGUGGGAAGCCGGUUCUGCCAUUCAUGUCUUAGGGUCGUGGAGCUGGAAACCCAGGGAGGCAGCGGUGCUGCUGUUCUAGUUUAAGGAUCAUGAAGCUGGAGAUCUGGACAGGAGCUGGUGCUACCAUUAUUCAAAUCUGAGGGUUGUGGAGCUGGAGCCUUGGUGAGUUGCCGGUGCUGCCUCAUCUGAGAGUUGCUGAGCUGGAGAUCCAGACAGGAACCUGUGUUGCUGUUGUAGUUUGACGGUCAUGGAGCUGGAGACUCAGGGAGGAGGGGUGCGGUUCUAGUCUGAGGGUUGUGGAGCUGGAGACCCAGGGAGGAGCUGGUGCUGCUGCUGUUUAAGGCUGAAGGUUGUGGAGCUGGAGACCAGGGAGGGAGCUGCUGUUGCUGUUGAUCAAGUCAGAGGGUCAUGGGGCUUGAGGUACAGGGAGGAGCUGGUGCUGCUGUUGCAGGUUUAGGGUCAUGGAGCUGGAAAUCUAGGGAGGAGCUGCUGCUGCUGUUCAAGUUUGAGGGUCGUGUAGCUGGAGAGCGGGAAGGAGGUAGUCUUGAUGUCUAGUGUGAGGGUGGUGGAGCUAUAGACCUGGGGAGGAGCCGGUGCUGCUGUGUAGUUUGAGGGUCAUGGAACUGGAGACCUUGGGAGGAGCCAGUGCUACUGAGGGUCGUGUAUCUGGAGCUUUGGGGAACAGCCCGUGCUGCUGUUUAACUGUGGGGAGGAUCUGCUGUGUUAGUUGAAGUUUGAGGGUUUGGGAGCUGGAGACCCAGGGAGGAGCUGAUGAUGCCAUUCUAUUUUGAGGGUCAUGGAUCUGGAGACCUGGGGAGAGGCCGGUACUGCUGUUGUAGUUUGAGGUUCGUGGAACUGGAGACAGGGGGAGGAGCCGGUGCUGCUGUUCAUGUCUGAGGGUUGUAGAGCUGGAGACCCAGGGAGAAGCCCGUACUACGGCUUUUUAAGUCUGAGGGUCGUGGAGCCUGAGACCUGGGGAGGGGCCAGUGCUGCUGUUCAAAUGGCUCAUUCCGGGGUCUCCAGCUCCAUGACCUUCAAACUAGGACAGCAGCAGCAGCUCCUCCCGGGGUCUUCCAGCUCCAUGACCCUCACACUAGAACAGCAGCAGCAGCUCCUCCCGGGGUCUUCCAGCUCCAUGACCCUCACACUAGAACAGCAGCACCGGCUCCACCCUGGGUCUCCAGAUCCAUGACCCUCAAACUAGAACAGCAGCACUGACUCCUCCCCGGGUCUCCAGCUCUACAACCCUCAGACUUGAGGAGUUGGAGACUCGGGGAGGAGCCAGGGCUGCUUUUCUACUUUGAGGGUUGUGGAGCUGGAGACCCAAGAUGCAGCAGCUGCUGCUAUUCUAGUUCGAGGGUCUUGGAGCCAGAACCUUUUUGAGGAGCUGGUGCUGCCUUUCAAGUCUGAGAGUCAUUGAGCUGGAGUUCCAGGGAGGAACCGGUGUUGCUAUUCUAGUCUGAGUGUAGUGAAGCUGGAGACCCAAGGAGGAGCCGGUGCUGCUGUGUAGUUUGAGGGUCGUGGAACUGGAGACUUAGGGAGGAGUUGGUGCUAUCGCCCUUUAAGUCAGAGGGUCGUGGAUCUGGAGCUUUGGGGAACAGCCCGUGCUGCUGUUUAACUGUGGGGAGGGUCCGGUGUGUCAAUUGAAGUUUGAGAGUUUGGGAGCUGGAGACCCAGGGAGGAGCCGGUGAUGCCAUUCUAUUUUGAGGGUCGUGGAUCUGGAGACCUGGGGAGAGGCCGGUACUGCUGUUGUAGUUUGAGGUUCGUGGAACUGGAGACAGGGGGAGGGGGCGGUGCUGCUGCUGUUCAUGUCUGAGGGUUGUAGAGAUGGAGACCCAGGGAGAAGCCCGUACUACGGCUUUUUAAGUCUGAGGGUCGUGGAGCCUGAGACCCGGGGAGGGGCCAGUGCUGCUGUUCAAAUGGUUCCUCCCCGGGUCUCCAGCUCCAUGACCUUCAAACUAGGACAGCAGCACCAGCUUGGAGCCAGAAACUUUCUGAGGAGCCAGUGCUGCCUUUCAAGUCUGAGACUUGUAAGAGCUGGAGACCCAGGGAGGAACAAGUGUUGCUGUUCUAGUCUGAGGGUAGAGAAGCUGGAGACCCAAGGAGGAGCCUGUGCUGCUGUUCAUGUCUGAGGAUUGUGGAGCUGGAGAACCAGAGGGGAGCUGGUGCUGCUGAUCGUGUUUGAAGGCUGUGGAGCUGGAGAUCCCAGGAAGAGCCGGUGCUGCCGUUUAUAUCUGUGGGUCUUGGAGCUGGAGCCCUAGCGGGGAACCCGGUCCUGCCAUUCAUGUCUUAGGGUCGUGGAGCUGGAAACCUAGGGAGGUGGUGGUGCUGCUGUUCUAGUUUAAGGAUCAUGAAGCUGGAGACCUGGACAGGAGCUGGUGCUACCGCUGUUCAAAUCUGAGGGUCAUGGAGCUGGAGCCUUGGGGAGGUGCCGGUGCUGCCUCUCAAGUCUGAGGGUUGUUGAGCUGGAGAUUCAGGGAGGAGCCGGUGUUGCUGUUGUUGUUGGAGGAUUGUGGAGCUGGAGGCCGAAGAGGAGCUGGUGUUGCAGUUCAAGUUUGACGGUCGUGUAGCUGGAGACCUAGGGAGGAGCUGGUGCUACCACCGUGUAAGUUGAGGGUUGUGGAGCUGGUGGCGCUGGGG